rnacentral:lncRNA from 1 species
AUUGCCACCCCUAAUAUACAUAAUAUCUUCAACAAUAUAUAUGACUUCCAGUGAAUGUAUAUGACAUCCUGAAUAAUAUAUAUAGUUUUUUGAUGUCUUAUCUGACUUUCUACGAGUGUAUAUAACAUUUUGAAUAAUAAAUAUAACUUCCUAUGAAUAUAUAUGAUAUCUUGAAUAAUAUAUAUAUUACUUUCUCAUGCA